AGAGUGAACGCUGGCGGUAGGCCUAACACAUGCAAGUCGAACGGCAGCACAGUGGUAGCAAUACCAUGGGUGGCGAGUGGCGGACGGGUGAGGAAUACAUCGGAAUCUACCUUUUCGUGGGGGAUAACGUAGGGAAACUUACGCUAAUACCGCAUACGCCCUUCGGGGGAAAGCCGGGGAUCGCAAGACCUGGCGCGGAUAGAUGAGCCGAUGUCGGAUUAGCUAGUUGGUGAGGUAAUGGCUCACCAAGGCGACGAUCCGUAGCUGGUCUGAGAGGAUGAUCAGCCACACUGGAACUGAGACACGGUCCAGACUCUACGGGAGCAGCAGUGGGGAAUAUUGGACAAUGGGACGCAAGCCUGAUCCAGCCAUACCGCGUGGGG
rnacentral:rRNA from 1 species